AAGGGUAUAGCUCAGUGGUAGAGUACAUGCUUAGCAUGCAUGAGGUCCUGGGUUCAAUCCUCAGUACCUCCA
rnacentral:tRNA from 1 species